rnacentral:antisense_RNA from 1 species
CUGAGGGUGGCCGACCAUUCGGCUCCGGGACGCAGGUGGGCCUCGUCGCCCAGGUGGGCGCCGUCGGUGACCAUGCCCAGCAGUUGGGCCUCGCCGUACUUCCCGGCGACGAUCCGUUCGAGCCGGCCGUGGGCGAUCAGGAAGACCUCCUCGACCGGCUGUCCCUGUUCGGCGAGGAGGUCGCCGGGCCGGAUGUGCCGGGGCUCGAACCGGGCGGCGAUCUCGGCGAGUACGUCCUGGUCGGGGUAGUCGCGCAGGGCGGGGAGCGCGUCCAACGAGGCCGGUACGACCCGGACUUGGUCGGCGCCCUGCUGAACGAAGAGCACCCGCCCGGCACCGGUCCGCAGGGUCAGCCGCCGGUUGACCCGGUAGGUGCCGGCGGCGACGUCCACCCAGGGCAUCGCCCGCAGCAGGUUGCGGGAGGUGAUGCCCUGCAUCUGUGGUUCGGACUUGGUGGUGGUGGCCAGCUGCCUGGCCGCCUGCGUGGACAGGCUCAACUGCGGCGCGGG